rnacentral:rRNA from 1 species
UACGUAGGUGGCAAGCGUUGUCCGGAUUUACUGGGCGUAAAGAGCGCGCAGGCGGUCGUAUAAGUCGAAUGUGAAAGCCCCCGGCUCAACUGGGGAGGGUCAUUCGAUACUGUUCGACUCGAAGGCAGGAGAGGGAAGUGGAAUUCCGGGUGUAGUGGUGAAAUGCGUAGAUAUCUGGAGGAACACCGGUGGCGAAGGCGGCAUCCUGGACCAAUAUUGACGCUGAGGAGCGAAAGCCAGGGGAGCAAACGGG